UUAAGGGAUGCACAAGGUUAGGAUGGCUGCAGCGGAAGUUACUCAGCGAUUUACUCCAGUUCAAAAGACUCGAAAAUAAAUUUCUGCAUGAGACAGGCAAGGCGGUUGCGCUCUGGGUCCUCAUCUGUAUGCAAGUUAUUUUUUAGAGGGAGAGGGGACCAGAUAUAGUUCGUUGCUCCUUGCCUUUUAGUUAGUUGUCCAGCAGUAGGUUCAAGCCGUGUUAAUUGGAAAAUGUCCCUAAUGUGUUGCUGAGUCCCGUGUUCGUCUAUAAGAGCCAAUGGAGAGAGAGGCCACUCUUUCCUCUUGCAGGCCACUUCAUCCAGGGAAUCCAAUUGCCACACGAUCCGACAUGGGCUCUGAUUUAUGAGGUGUUGGAGGUAAGCGGCAGCGUUCGACUGGACUGAUGGGAACUGAUGCUGUAACAUUUGGAUGACCUCAGGCAGCUCUGGAUCUCUCCAACCAAACUCCCUGCAGAGAUACACAGAGAAAACAUUGCAGCAUACGCGUGGGCAUUCGUCUCAUUUUUGAGUGUCUCUUUACAUUUGUGUGGAUUUUAAUAGAGAUUCUUAAUCCAUUCCUCAAUGAAUGAGUGGU